rnacentral:lncRNA from 1 species
ACAACUUGUGCUUAUCACAUAAUACAGACUUAAUACACAUGUAAGCAGAAUAAAGAACAAACAGCUACGUGUCAUAAGAAACACAUGCAAAUCGGAUUUCACUGUUGUCUUGCCGCUGGCAUGGACUAUGCCGGUUCUUCCGUCUUGUUCUUCAUCACCCAACUGUUCCUCUCUAUAUUUGCACUCCUUUAACUCCGAUCUUCCGCCAUAGCCACCGCUUGAAAUUAAAACUCAUGUCUUCUCCGGUUGUUAAAGCGAGAGUAACCGAACUGAUUGAAGAGCAGAAUCUUCGUCAGACCAUCCUAAACUUAGUAGGAUGCUAACUCUACUGGAUCUCCCUUGAAUCAGCCAUAGAAUUUCAUCAACACUUCAUCCUUCCCGCAAGGAUACUUUACUCCGAUGUCAAUUUUCGAAUCCAUAUAUUUGGAUGAGUAAAGAUUGACUCCCAUCUGGAAAAGAAUCUAUGCAUAACCUUUGAAGAACAAGCGUUAACCCAAGCAAGUUGGAAUUUAAUUGAAAGUAUGCGGAAGAGGAGGAGACCAUAAUACUAGAAUUUAUUAGGAUUCAACCAAAACAGAGAAAGAUAGGAAUGAUAAUUGGCUCUGAAAUUGGUUGAAUUAUCAUUACAAAAUCGCCAAACGCGAAGGGGUUUUAUUUUCAUUCCUUUUGUAAAUGAUUUUGAAUAUUAUUAACACAGGGGUUUCCACAAACUUUUAGUCACAGUCUUUACAGAGGACGAGAGUGUAUGUCUGCCUCCCUGACCAUCUCGCCUGAGAAGUGAUUCCAUUUCUUAACUGCUAAAGCUUACUUGCGACUACGAAGACGACAGUCUCCAUUUUCUGAGGUAUCUAGACAUGUUCCGUGACAUAUGUUAAUAGGGUUUUUCUUAUCUUGCUUGAUUUAUCAGUUUCUGUUGCUGCAUGAUGUCGUUUUACAGAUAAGAAUCAUUUCUGUUUUAUUUUUUUAGGGCUCGAAAAUCAGAGACACGAGUUUUGCAUUUUAGGGAUUUAUCCCACCCUUGCUGUUGUUUUACCAAAACUAUGAUUUUUCUUAUACAUUGAAAACCAAAGACAUGGGUUUGCCUUCUUUCAGGGUUUUGUCCUGAGAAUUUCAGUUUUUUUUUUUUUUGAGUUGGUUGUAGGACUGUCGUAGUCAUGGCUGAAAUAGAGGUUCCGGUGUACUGUUACUGGAACGGUUGCAUCAAG